GAUGAACGCUGGCGGCGUGCUUAACACAUGCAAGUCGAACGAUGAAGCUCAGCUUGCUGGGUGGAUUAGUGGCGAACGGGUGAGUAACACGUGAGUAACCUGCCCUUAACUCUGGGAUAAGCCUGGGAAACUAGGUCUAAUACCGGAUAGGAGCGCCUACCGCAUGGUGGGUGUUGGAAAGAUUUAUCGGUUUUGGAUGGACUCGCGGCCUAUCAGCUUGUUGGUGAGGUAAUGGCUCACCAAGGCGACGACGGGUAGCCGGCCUGAGAGGGUGACCGGCCACACUGGGACUGAGACACGGCUCAGACUCCUACGGGAGGCAGCAGUGGGGAAUAUUGCACAAUGGGCGAAAGCCUGAUGCAGCGACGCCGCGUGAGGGAUGACGGCCUUCGGGUUGUAAACCUCUUUCAGUAGGGAAGAAGCGAAAGUGACGGUACCUGCAGAAGAAGCACCGGCUAACUACGUG
rnacentral:rRNA from 1 species